rnacentral:rRNA from 1 species
GCUCAGAUUGAACGCUGGCGGCAGGCUUAACACAUGCAAGUCGAGCGGUAACAUUCCUAGCUUGCUAGGAGAUGACGAGCGGCGGACGGGUGAGUAAUGCUUGGGAAUAUGCCUUAUGGUGGGGGACAACAGUUGGAAACGACUGCUAAUACCGCAUAACGUCUACGGACCAAAGGGGGGGAUUCUUCGGAACCUCUCGCCAUUUGAUUAGCCCAAGUGAGAUUAGCUAGUUGGUGAGGUAAAGGCUCACCAAGGCGACGAUCUCUAGCUGGUUUGAGAGGAUGAUCAGCCACACUGGGACUGAGACACGGCCCAGACUCCUACGGGAGGCAGCAGUGGGGAAUAUUGCACAAUGGGCGAAAGCCUGAUGCAGCCAUGCCGCGUGUGUGAAGAAGGCCUUCGGGUUGUAAAGCACUUUCAGUUGUGAGGAAAGGUGAGUAGUUAAUAGCUGCUUGCUGUGACGUUAACAACAGAAGAA